UACGGAGGGUGCGAGCGUUGUCCGGAAUCAUUGGGCGUAAAGGGCGCGUAGGUGGCUUCUUAAGCGUGCGGUGAAAGCCUGGGGCUCAACCCCGGGUCGGCCGUGCGAACUGGGGGGCUGGAGCACUGUAGAGGCAGGCGGAAUUCCGGGUGUAGCGGUGGAAUGCGUAGAGAUCCGGAAGAACACCGGUGGCGAAGGCGGCCUGCUGGGCAGUUGCUGACACUGAGGUGCGAAAGCGUGGGGAGCAAACAGG
rnacentral:rRNA from 1 species